UACGAAGGGGGCUAGCGUUGUUCGGAAUUACUGGGCGUAAAGGGCGCGUAGGCGGAUUGUUAAGUCAGGGGUGAAAUCCUGGAGCUCAACUCCAGAACUGCCUUUGAUACUGGCAAUCUUGAGUCCGGAAGAGGUGAGUGGAACUCCUAGUGUAGAGGUGGAAUUCGUAGAUAUUAGGAAGAACACCAGUGGCGAAGGCGGCUCACUGGUCCGGUACUGGACGCUGAGGUGCGAAAGCGUGGGGAGCAAACAGGG
rnacentral:rRNA from 1 species